GCUGGGGCUAUAGCUCAGUUGGUAGAGUGUUUGCCUCACAUGCACAAGGCCCUGAGUUCAAUUCAAUUCCCAGCA
rnacentral:tRNA from 1 species